AACGAACGCUGGCGGCAUGCCUAACACAUGCAAGUCGAACGAAGGCUUCGGCCUUAGUGGCGCACGGGUGCGUAACGCGUGGGAAUCUGCCCUUUGGUUCGGAAUAACAGCUGGAAACGGCUGCUAAUACCGGAUGAUGACGAAAGUCCAAAGAUUUAUCGCCAGAGGAUGAGCCCGCGUUGGAUUAGGUAGUUGGUGGGGUAAAGGCCUACCAAGCCGACGAUCCAUAGCUGGUCUGAGAGGAUGAUCAGCCACACUGGGACUGAGACACGGCCCAGACUCCUACGGGAGGCAGCAGUGGGGAAUAUUGGACAAUGGGCGCAAGCCUGAUCCAGCAAGGCCGCGUGAGUGAUGAAGGCCCUAUGGUUGUAAAGCUCUUUUACCCGGGAAGAUAAUGACGGUACCGGGAGAAUAAGCCCCGGCUAACUCCGUG
rnacentral:rRNA from 1 species